rnacentral:sRNA from 1 species
CAUCGCACUUUUCCAUCUGCUGGCCACACGCACAGACAAGUGGUCAUCUAUUUCCAGGUGCGUCCAGAUCCAACCCCAGGGAGUUUCCGUGGUCUGGAUUUAAGUUUCAGAAUGCCUUGUGUGCAGUCCCCCACUCUGUGGGGUGCGCUGUCAUCAUAUUGUGUUGAAACGAUGAGAUGGUAUUUGAAGGCAGCAGGUUUCCAGAUGAGCUGGACAAGCAUGUUCAUUGAGUCAUGGGACCUGCCAUUAACGAAACAAAAUUAAGGCAGUUCUAACAGACGGAGUCUGUGUUGCCCAGGCUGGUAUCGAACUUCUGGGCUCAAGCAAUUCUCCCACCUCGGCCUCCCAAAGUGCUGGGAUUACAGGUGGCUUCCGAGUGGACCUGCCAAUCAAGUCGGCCCGCUACCGUGGCCAGUACAACACCUAUCCCAUCAAGCUCUUCUAUACAUCCAACAUCCCCAUCAUCCUGCAGUCUGCCCUGGUGUCCAACCUUUAUGUCAUCUCCCAAAUGCUCUCAGCUCGCUUCAGUGGCAACUUGCUGGUCAGCCUGCUGGGCACCUGGUCGGACACGUCUUCUGGGGGCCCAGCACGUGCUUAUCCAGUUGGUGGCCUUUGCUAUUACCUGUCCCCUCCAGAAUCUUUUGGCUCCGUGUUAGAAGACCCGGUCCAUGCAGUUGUAUACAUAGUGUUCAUGCUGGGCUCCUGUGCAUUCUUCUCCAAAACGUGGAUUGAGGUCUCAGGUUCCUCUGCCAAAGAUGUUGCAAAGCAGCUGAAGGAGCAGCAGAUGGUGAUGAGAGGCCACCGAGAGACCUCCAUGGUCCAUGAACUCAACCGGUACAUCCCCACAGCCGCGGCCUUUGGUGGGCUGUGCAUCGGGGCCCUCUCGGUCCUGGCUGACUUCCUGGGCGCCAUUGGGUCUGGAACUGGGAUCCUGCUCGCAGUCACAAUCAUCUACCAGUACUUUGAGAUCUUCGUUAAGGAGCAAAGCGAGGUUGGCAGCAUGGGGGCCCUGCUCUUCUGAGCCCAUCUCCCGGACAGGUUGAGGAAGCUGCUCCAGAAGCGCCUCGGAAGGGGAGCUCUCAUCAUGGCGCAUGCUGCUGUGGCAUAUGGACUUUUGUUUAAUAAUGUUUUUGAAUUUUGUAUUCUUUCAUUCCACUGUGUAAAGUGCUAGACAUUUUCCAAUUUAAAAUUUUGCUUUUUAUCCUGGCAUUGGCAAAAAGAACUGUGAAAGUGAAAUUUUAUUCAGCCGACUGCCAGAGAAGUGGGAAUGGUAUAGGAUUGUCCCCAAGUGUCCAUGUAACUUUUGUUUUAACCUUUGCACCUUCUCAGUGCCGUAUGCGGCUGCAGCCGUCUCACCUGUUUCCCCACAAAGGGAAUUUCUCACUCUGGUUGGAAGCACAAACACUGAAAUGUCUACAUUUCAUUUUGGCAGUAGGGUGUGAAGCUGGGAGCAGAUCAUGUAUUUCCCGGAGACGUGGGACCUUGCUGGCAUGUCUCCUUCACAAUCAGGCGUGGGAAUAUCUGGCUUAGGACUGUUUCUCUCUAAGACACCAUUGUUUUCCCUUAUUUUAAAAGUGAUUUUUUUUAAGGACAGAACUUCUUCCAAAAGAGAGGGAUGGCUUUCCCAGAAGACACUCCUGGCCAUCUGUGGAUUUGUCUGUGCACCUAUUGGCUCUUCUAGCUGACUCUUCUGGUUGGGCUUAGAGUCUGCCUGUUUCUGCUAGCUCCGUGUUUAGUCCACUUGGGUCAUCAGCUCUGCCAAGCUGAGCCUGGCCAAGCUAGGUGGACAGACCCUUGCAGUGAUGUCCGUUUGUCCAGAUUCUGCCAGUCAUCACUGGACACGUCUCCUCGCAGCUGCCCUAGCAAGGGGAGACAUUGUGGUAGCUAUCAGACAUGGACAGAAACUGACUUAGUGCUCACAAGCCCCUACACCUUCUGGGCUGAAGAUCACCCAGCUGUGUUCAGAAUUUUCUUACUGUGCUUAGGACUGCACGCAAGUGAGCAGACACCACCAACUUCUUUCUGCGUCACCAGUGUCGUCAGCAGAGAGAGGACAGCACAGGCUCAAGGUUGGUAGUGAAGUCAGGUUCGGGGUGCAUGGGCUGUGGUGGUGUUGAUCAGUUGCUCCAGUGUUUGAAAUAAGAAGACUCAUGUUUAUGUCUGGAAUAAGUUCUGUUUGUGCUGACAGGUGGCCUAGGUCCUGGAGAUGAGCACCCUCUCUCUGGCCUUUAGGGAGUCCCCUCUUAGGACAGGCACUGCCCAGCAGCAAGGGCAGCAGAGUUGGGUGCUAAGAUCCUGAGGAGCUCGAGGUUUCGAGCUGGCUUUAGACAUUGGUGGGACCAAGGAUGUUUUGCAGGAUGCCCUGAUCCUAAGAAGGGGGCCUGGGGGUGCGUGCAGCCUGUCGGGGAGACCCCACACUGACAGUGGGCACACGGCAGCCUGCAAAGCACAGGGCCACUGCCACAGCCCGGCAGAGGGGCACACUCUGGAGACCUUGCUGGCAGUGCUAGCCAGGAAACAGAGUGACCAAGGGACAAGAAGGGACUUGCCUAAAGCCACCCAGCAACUCAGCAGCAGAACCAAGAUGGGCCCCAGGCUCCUCCAUAUGGCCCAGGGCUUACCACCCUAUCACACGUGGCCUUGUCUAGACCCAGUCCUGAGCAGGGGAGAGGCUCUUGAGACCUGAUGCCCUCCUACCCACAUGGUUCUCCCACUGCCCUGUCCGCUUUGCUGCUACAGAGGGGCAGGGCCUCCCCCAGCCCACGCUUAGGAAUGCUUGGCCUCUGGCAGGCAGGCAGCUGUACCCAAGCUGGUGCGCAGGGGGCUGGAGGGCACCAGGCCUCAGGAGGAGCCCCAUAGUCCUGCCUGCAGCCUGUAACCAUCGGCUGGGCCCUGCAAGGCCCACACUCACGCCCUGUGGGUGAUGGUCACGGUGGGUGGGUGGGGGCUGACCCCAGCUUCCAGGGGACUGUCACUGUGGACGCCAAAAUGGCAUAACUGAGAUAAGGUGAAUAAGUGACAAAUAAAGCCAGUUUUUUACAAGGUA